rnacentral:rRNA from 1 species
ACUCGAGUGGCGAACGGGUGAGUAACACGUGGGUGAUCUGCCCUGCACUUCGGGAUAAGCUUGGGAAACUGGGUCUAAUACCGGAUAGGAGCCAUCUUUAGUGUGGUGGUUGGAAAGUUUUUCGGUGUAGGAUGAGCUCGCGGCCUAUCGGCUUGUUGGUGGGGUAAUGGCCUACCAAGGCGGCGACGGGUAGCCGGCCUGAGAGGGUGUACGGCCACAUUGGGACUGAGAUACGGCCCAG